AUUGAACGCUGGCGGCAGGCUUAACACAUGCAAGUCGAGCGGUAACAGAGAGAAGCUUGCUUCUCUGCUGACGAGCGGCGGACGGGUGAGUAAUGCCUAGGAAUCUGCCUAGUAGUGGGGGAUAACUUGCCGAAAGGUAAGCUAAUACCGCAUACGUCCUACGGGAGAAAGGAGGGGACCUUCGGGCCUUUCGCUAUUAGAUGAGCCUAGGUCGGAUUAGUUAGUUGGUGAGGUAAUGGCUCACCAAGACCGCGAUCCGUAACUGGUCUGAGAGGAUGAUCAGUCACACUGGAACUGAGACACGGUCCAGACUCCUACGGGAGGCAGCAGUGGGGAAUAUUGGACAAUGGGGGAAACCCUGAUCCAGCCAUGCCGCGUGUGUGAAGAAGGUCUUAGGAUUGUAAAGCACUUUAAGUUGGGAGGAAGAGCAGUUAACUAAUAUUUGACUGUUUUGACGUUACCGACAGAAUAAGCACCGGCUAACUUCGUG
rnacentral:rRNA from 1 species